rnacentral:rRNA from 1 species
AUGAACGCCGGCGGCGUGCUUAACACAUGCAAGUCGAACGAUGAAGCCCAGCUUGCUGGGUGGAUUAGUGGCGAACGGGUGAGUAACACGUGAGUAACCUGCCCUUGACUCUGGGAUAAGCCUGGGAAACUGGGUCUAAUACUGGAUAUGACUUCUCAUCGCAUGGUGGGGGGUGGAAAGAUUUAUUGGUCUUGGAUGGACUCGCGGCCUAUCAGCUUGUUGGUGAGGUAAUGGCUCACCAAGGCGACGACGGGUAGCCGGCCUGAGAGGGUGACCGGCCACACUGGGACUGAGACACGGCCCAGACUCCUACGGGAGGCAGCAGUGGGGAAUAUUGCACAAUGGGCGCAAGCCUGAUGCAGCGACGCCGCGUGAGGGAUGACGGCCUUCGGGUUGUAAACCUCUUUCAGUAGGGAAGAAGCGAGAGUGACGGUACCUGCAGAAGAAGCGCCGGCUAACUACGUG